rnacentral:rRNA from 1 species
UAGGGAAUCUUCCGCAAUGGACGCAAGUCUGACGGAGCAACGCCGCGUGAGUGAAGAAGGUUUUCGGAUCGUAAAACUCUGUUGUUAGAGAAGAACAAGUGCUAGAGUAACUGUUAGCGCCUUGACGGUAUCUAACCGGAAAGCCACGGCUAACUACGUGCCAGCAGCCGCGGUAAUACGUAUGUGGCAAGCGUUGUCCGGAUUUAUUGGGCGUAAAGCGAGCGCAGGCGGUUUCUUAAGCCUGAUGUGAAAGCCCCCGGCUCAACCGGGGAGGGUCAUUGGAAACUGGGGAACUUGAGUGCAGAAGAGGAGAGUGGAAUUCCAUGUGUAGCGGUGAAAUGCGUAGAUAUAUGGAGGAACACCAGUGGCGAAAGCGGCUCUCUGGCUUGUAACUGACGCUGAGGCUCGAAAGCGUGGGGAGCAAACAGGAUUAGAUACCCUGGUAGUCCACGCCGUAAACGAUGAGUGCUAGGUGUUAGACCCUUUCCGGGGUUUAGUGCCGCAGCUAACGCAUUAAGCACUCCGCCUGGGGAGUACGACCGCAAGGUUG